GAAUAUCGUUUGACCGACGAUGAUUAUUUAACUCUAAAAAAGAAAGAUGACCAUCGAGUUGGAUGCAUCUUGGCUUGCAUAAUGACUAAAAAUAAAAUGAUGAUCAAUGGCUCGUUUGUCGUUGAAAAAAUGCAAAAUCAAGUAUGGAUAGCUAAAAAAUACAACGUCA